ACUCUACUGUCAGCUUCAGUGUUAUCACAGUCAAGGUGCCUGGACUCUACUGUCAGCUUCAGUGUUAUCACAGUCAAGGUGCCUGGACUCUACUGUCAGCUUCAGUGUUAUCACAGUCAAGGUGCCUGGACUCUACUGUCAGCUUCAGUGUUAUCACAGUCAAGGUGCCUGGACUCUACUGCCAGCUUCAGUGUUAUCACAGUCAAGGUGCCUGGACUCUACUGUCAGCUUCAGUGUUAUCACAGUCAAGGUGCCUGGACUCUACUGUCAGCUUCAGUGUUAUCACAGUCAAGGUGCCUGGACUCUACUGUCAGCUUCAGUGUUAUCACAGUCAAGGUGCCUGGACUCUACUGUCAGCUUCAGUGUUAUCACAGUCAAGGUGCCUGGACUCUACUGUCAGCUUCAGUGUUAUCACAGUCAAGGUGCCUGGACUCUACUGUCAGCUUCAGUGUUAUCACAGUCAAGGUGCCUGGACUCUACUGCCAGCUUCAGUGUUAUCACAGUCAAGGUGCCUGGACUCUACUGUCAGCUUCAGUGUUAUCACAGUCAAGGUGCCUGGACUCUACUGCCAGCUUCAGUGUUAUCACAGUCAAGGUGCCUGGACUCUACUGUCAGCUUCAGUGUUAUCACAGUCAAGGUGCCUGGACUCUACUGCCAGCUUCAGUGUUAUCACAGUCAAGGUGCCUGGACUCUACUGUCAGCUUCAGUGUUAUCACAGUCAAGGUGCCUGGACUCUACUGUCAGCUUCAGUGUUAUCACAGUCAAGGUGCCUGGACUCUACUGUCAGCUUCAGUGUUAUCACAGUCAAGGUG